AGAAUGAACGCUGGCGGCGUGCUUAACACAUGCAAGUCGAGCGCGAAAGCGACUUCGGUCGUGAGUAGAGCGGCGAACGGGUGAGUAACACGUGGAUAACCUACCUGGGAGCGGGGGACAACUCGGGGAAACUUGAGCUAAUACCGCAUACGGUUGCAUCUUCUUGGAGGUGCAAGGAAAGGUGGCUUCGGCUGCCACUCCCAGAGGGGUCCGCGCUUGAUUAGCUAGUUGGCGGGGUAACGGCCCACCAAGGCGACGAUCAAUAGCCGGCCUGAGAGGGCGAACGGCCACACUGGAACUGAGACACGGUCCAGACUCCUACGGGAGGCAGCAGUGGGGAAUAUUGGACAAUGGGCGAAAGCCUGAUCCAGCAACGCCGCGUGGAGGAUGAAGGUCUUCGGAUUGUAAACUCCUGUCAGGGGGGACGAAAAGGCUUCGGUUAAUACCCGGAGUCUAUGACGGUACCUCCAGAGGAAGCCCCGGCUAACUCCGUGCCAGCAGCCGCGGUAAUACGGAGGGGGCGAGCGUUAUUCGGAAUUAUUGGGCGUAAAGGGCGCGUAGGCGGCCCGACAAGUCAGGGGUGAAAUCCCUCGGCUCAACCGAGGAAUGGCCUCUGAAACUGUAGGGCUUGAGGCCGGGAGAGGGUGGUGGAAUUCCCAGUGUAGCGGUGAAAUGCGUAGAUAUUGGGGGGAACACCAGUGGCGAAGGCGGCCACCUGGACCGGUACUGACGCUGAGGCGCGAAAGCGUGGGUAGCAAACAGGAUUAGAUACCCUGGUAGUCCACGCUGUAAACGAUGAGCACUCGGUGCUGCGGGUGUCGACCCCUGCAGUGCCUUAGGUAACCCGUUAAGUGCUCCGCCUGGGGAGUACGGUCGCAAGGCUG
rnacentral:rRNA from 1 species